CUGUAGGGAUGAAAUGCGUAGAUAUGUGGAGGAACACCAGUGGCGAAGGCGGCUCUCUGGUCUGUAACUGACGCUGAGGCGCGAAAGCGUGGGGAGCAAACAGGAUUAGAUACCCUGGUAGUCCACGCCGUAAACGAUGAGUGCUAGGUGUUGGGGGGUUCCACCCUCAGUGCUGAAGUUAACACAUUAAGCACUCCGCCUGGGGAGUACGACCGCAAGGUUGAAACUCAAAGGAAUUGACGGGGGCCCGCACAAGCAGUGGAGCAUGUGGUUUAAUUCGAAGCAACGCGAAGAACCUUACCAGGUCUUGACAUCCUCUGACAAUCCUGGAGACAGGACGUUCCCCUUCGGGGGACAGAGUGACAGGUGGUGCAUGGUUGUCGUCAGCUCGUGUCGUGAGAUGUUGGGUUAAGUCCCGCAACGAGCGCAACCCUUGAUCUUAGUUGCCAGCAUUUAGUUGGGCACUCUAAGGUGACUGCCGGUGACAAACCGGAGGAAGGUGGGGAUGACGUCAAAUCAUCAUGCCCCUUAUGACCUGGGCUACACACGUGCUACAAUGGACGGUACAAAGGGCAGCGACACCGCGAGGUGAAGCAAUCCCAUAA
rnacentral:rRNA from 2 species